rnacentral:rRNA from 1 species
UACGGAGGGUGCAAGCGUUAUCCGGAUUUACUGGGUUUAAAGGGUGCGUAGGUGGAUAAUUAAGUCAGUGGUGAAAUCUUCAGGCUUAACCUGGAAACUGCCGUUGAUACUAUUUAUCUUGAAUACUUUGGAGGUAAGCGGAAUAUGUCAUGUAGCGGUGAAAUGCUUAGAUAUGACAUAGAACACCAAUUGCGAAGGCAGCUUACUACACAGUAAUUGACACUGAGGCACGAAAGCGUGGGGAUCAAACAGG